rnacentral:rRNA from 1 species
CCUACGGGGGGCUGCAGUAGGGAAUCUUGCACAAUGGGCGAAAGCCUGAUGCAGCGACGCCGCGUGAGGGAUGACGGCCUUCGGGUUGUAAACCUCUUUCAGCGGGGACGAAGCGAAAGUGACGGUACCCGCAGAAGAAGCCCCGGCUAACUACGUGCCAGCAGCCGCGGUAAUACGUAGGGGGCGAGCGUUAUCCGGAUUUAUUGGGCGUAAAGCGCGCGUAGGCGGCCGAUCGCGUCGGAUGUGAAAGCUCGGAGCUCAACUCUGAGAGGCCAUUCGAUACGGGUCGGCUAGAGGUAGGUAGGGGAGAUUGGAAUUCCUGGUGUAGCGGUGAAAUGCGCAGAUAUCAGGAGGAACACCGGUGGCGAAGGCGGAUCUCUGGGCCUUACCUGACGCUGAGGCGCGAAAGCUGGGGGAGCGAACAGGAUUAGAUACCCUAG